rnacentral:rRNA from 1 species
UACGUGCCAGCAGCCGCGGUAAUACGUAGGGUCCGAGCGUUGUCCGGAAUUACUGGGCGUAAAGAGCUCGUAGGUGGUUUGUCGCGUUGUUCGUGAAAACUCACAGCUCAACUGUGGGCGUGCGGGCGAUACGGGCAGACUUGAGUACUGCAGGGGAGACUGGAAUUCCUGGUGUAGCGGUGGAAUGCGCAGAUAUCAGGAGGAACACCGGUGGCGAAGGCGGGUCUCUGGGCAGUAACUGACGCUGAGGAGCGAAAGCGUGGGGAGCGAACAGGAUUAGAUACCCUGGUAGUCCACGCCGUAAACGGUGGGUACUAGGUGUGGGUUUCCUUCCUUGGGAUCCGUGCCGUAGCUAACGCAUUAAGUACCCCGCCUGGGGAGUACGGCCGCAAGGCUAAAACUCAAAGAAAUUGACGGGGGCCCGCACAAGCGGCGGAGCAUGUGGAUUAAUUCGAUGCAACGCGAAGAACCUUACCUGGGUUUGACAUGCACAGGACGCCGGCAGAGAUGUCGGUUCCCUUGUGGCCUGUGUGCAGGUGGUGCAUGGCUGUCGUCAGCUCGUGUCGUGAGAUGUUGGGUUAAGUCCCGCAACGAGCGCAACCCUUGUCUCAUGUUGCCAGCACGUAAUGGUGGGGACUCGUGAGAGACUGCCGGGGUCAACUCGGAGGAAGGUGGGGAUGACGUCAAGUCAUCAUGCCCCUUAUGUCCAGGGCUUCACACAUGCUACAAUGGCCGGUACAAAGGGCUGCGAUGCCGUGAGGUGGAGCGAAUCCUUUCAAAGCCGGUCUCAGUUCGGAUCGGGGUCUGCAACUCGACCCCGUGAAGUCGGAGUCGCUAGUAAUCGCAGAUCAGCAACGCUGCGGUGAAUACGUUCCCGGGCCUUGUACACACCGCCCGUCACGUCAUGAAAGUCGGUAACACCCGAAGCCGGUGGCCUAACCCC